UACGUAGGGUGCAAGCGUUAAUCGGAAUUACUGGGCGUAAAGCGUGCGCAGGCGGUUUUGUAAGACUGUCGUGAAAUCCCCGGGCUCAACCUGGGAAUUGCGUUGGAGACUGCAAGGCUGGAGUCUGGCAGAGGGGGGUAGAAUUCCACGUGUAGCAGUGAAAUGCGUAGAGAUGUGGAGGAACACCGAUGGCGAAGGCAGCCCCCUGGGUCAAGACUGACGCUCAUGCACGAAAGCGUGGGGAGCAAACAGG
rnacentral:rRNA from 1 species